UACGUAGGGGGCUAGCGUUGUUCGGAAUUACUGGGCGUAAAGCGCACGUAGGCGGACAUUUAAGUCAGGGGUGAAAUCCCAGAGCUCAACUCUGGAACUGCCUUUGAUACUGGGUGUCUUGAGUAUGGAAGAGGUGAGUGGAAUUCCGAGUGUAGAGGUGAAAUUCGUAGAUAUCGGGAGGAACACCAGUGGCGAAGGCGGCGACCUGGGCCAAGAUUGACGCUGAGGUGCGAAAGCGUGGGGAGCAAACAGG
rnacentral:rRNA from 1 species